rnacentral:rRNA from 1 species
GCCAAGGUACAAAGGGCAUACGGUGGAUGCCUUGGCGCCAGGAGCCGAUGAAGGACGUUGCAGGCUGCGAUAAGCCUCGGGGAGCCGCCAAGCAGGCUUUGAUCCGGGGGUGUCCGAAUGGGGAAACCCGGCUGGCGUAAUGGCCAGUCACUCCUCGCUGAACACAUAGGCGAGGUUGAGGGAACCGGGGGAAGUGAAACAUCUCAGUACCCCGAGGAAGAGAAAGCAACCGCGAUUCCCUUAGUAGCGGUGAGCGAAACGGGAACAGCCCAAACCUGCGUGACGUGAUAGCCCAGCGGCGUUGUCACGUGGGUGUUGUGGGACCAUUCAGGGAGCGCGCUGGUGCUCCCAGGGAGUCACAAAGUCAGCGCCUAGCCGAACGGCAUGGAAAGGCCGGCCAUAGGAGGUAACAGCCCCGUAGGCGAAAGGUAACUGACCUCCCGAGUGGGAUCCCAAGUAGCGCCGAGCACGUGGAAUUCGGCGUGAAUCUGGGGGGACCACCCCCUAAGGCUAAAAACUACCUGGCGACCGAUAGUGAACCAGUACCGUGAGGGAAAGGUGAAAAGCACCCCGGGAGGGGAGUGAAAUAGCACCUGAAACCGUGUGCCUACAAACCGUCGGAGCAAACCGUGCUGGGCAACCAGUGCGGUAAGUGACGGCGUGCCUUUUGAAGAAUGAGCCGGCGAGUUGCGCUACGUGGCGAGGUUAAGGGGUUGUCCCGGAGCCGUAGGGAAACCGAGUCUGAAUAGGGCGAACAGUCGCGUGGUGCAGACCCGAAGCUGAGUGAUCUAUCCAUGGCCAGGUUGAAGCGCGGGUAAGACCGCGUGGAGGACCGAACCGACUCAUGUUGAAAAAUGGGCGGAUGAGCUGUGGAUAGGGGUGAAAGGCCAAUCAAACUCAGUGAUAGCUGGUUCUCCCCGAAAUGCAUUUAGGUGCAGCGUCGUGUGUUUCGUGUCGGGGGUAGAGCACUGUUUGGGCUAGGGGGCCUACAAGCUUACUGAACUCAGGCAAACUCCGAAUACCGACACGUUAAGCACGGCAGUGAGACUGCGAGCGAUAAGGUCCGUAGUCGAGAGGGAAACAGCCCAGAUCGCCAGCUAAGGUCCCUAAGAACGUGCUAAGUGGGAAACGAUGUCCAACCGUGUAGACAGCCAGGAGGUUGGCUUAGAAGCAGCCACCCUUGAAAGAGUGCGUAACAGCUCACUGGUCGAAUAGUUGGGCGCGGAAAAUGUAACGGGGCUCAAGCACGUCACCGAAGCUGCGGGAUCUCUUCACAAGCCGGCCUGUGUUGGGUGCAACACAGGUCCAAGCGAAGGGAUCGGUAGGGGAGCAUCGUCACGCGGGUGAAGCGGCGGAGUAAUCCAGCCGUGGAUGCGUGACAAGAGCGAAUGCCGGCAUGAGUAGCGAAAGAGGGGGGAGGAACCCCUCCGCCGAAUGCCCAAGGGUUCCUGGGGAAGGUUCAUCCGCCCAGGGUUAGUCGGGACCUAAGACGAGGUCGAAAGACGUAGCCGAUGGACAACAGGUUGAUAUUCCUGUACCACCGUUUCCGCGCCAAAGCCGAACCUGCGUUGCUAAGGAAAUCCCUUCGGGGACUACCGAACCACGUAGUACUAGGCCACCGAUGGGGAGACGCAGGAAGGUAAGUGGGCCCGGGCGAUGGUCGACCCGGGGUAAGCGCGUAGGGAGUCGCCGUAGGAAAAUCCGCGGCGGCAUCAUCCUGAGGCGUGACGCCGACAUCAAUGGAUGGAAGCCACUGAUCCUAUGCUGCCGAGAAAAUCCUCUAGGGAGUGGAAAAGGUGCCCGUACCCCAAACCAACUCAGGUGGGCAAGUAGAGAAUACUAAGGCGAUCGAGAGAACUCUGGUCAAGGAACUCGGCAAUCUGACCCCGUAACUUCGGAAGAAGGGGUGCCGUGAUCGGUGAAGGGCUUCUCGCCCCGAGCUGACCGCGGUCGCAGUGACCAGUCCCAAGCGACUGUUUACUAAAAACACAGGUGGGUGCGAAGCCGUAAGGCGCUGUAUACCCACUGACACCUGCCCGGUGCUGGAACGUUAAGGGGAGAGGUUAGCCCGCAAGGGCGAAGCUUUGAACCGAAGCGCCAGUAAACGGCGGCCGUAACUAUAACGGUCCUAAGGUAGGAAGCCCUUUGCAGGAAGGGGCGCUGCCCCCCGCAUUAGCGAUAGUGCGGUGCGCAGCCGGCUAUAUGCUGGAAAACCCGAGUAUCCCGAGCUACUCGUCCACUCACUUGGUGGACAGUGACAAUGCGAGGGUGCGGAAAACCAGCAGGAAACCCGAGAUGCCAAUCUCGGCGGAUCCUCAGAGACCAUACGCCGGCCCUCUCAACGAGAGGAAGAGAUGGUCCGAGCCCUGUGGCGACGCAGGGGGUUCAUCAGAACGCCACUGAUCAACCCGUUCGAUCGAGCAAACGAGAAGAUCGAGCGAAACCGCAAAAGCGAAAUUCCUUGUCGGGUAAGUUCCGACCUGCACGAAUGGUGUAACGACUUGGGCGCUGUCUCGACCAGAGACUCGGCGAAAUUGCAUUGGCUGUGAAGAUGCGGCCUACCCACGGUAGGACGGAAAGACCCCGGGACCUUUACUGUAGUUUGGCGUUGGUGUUCGGUUCUGGUUGCGUAGGAUAGGUGGGAGGCUUUGAAGCGGGGGUUUCGGCCCUCGUGGAGCCAACCUUGAAAUACCACCCUUCUAGUGCUGGGCGUCUAACAAGGGUCCGUUAUCCGGAUCUUGGACAGCGCCAGGCAGGCAGUUUAACUGGGGCGGUUGCCUCCCAAAGAGUAACGGAGGUGCCCAAAGGUUCCCUCAGCACGGUUGGCAAUCGUGCGUCGAGUGUAAGAGCACAAGGGAGCUUCACUGCGAGACGGACACGUCGAGCAGAUGCGAAAGCAGGGUCUAGUGAUCCGGCGGUGGCAAGUGGAAGCGCCGUCGCUCAACGGCUAAAAGGUACCCCGGGGAUAACAGGCUGAUCAGGCCCAAGAGUCCACAUCGACGGCCUGGUUUGGCACCUCGAUGUCGGCUCGUCGCAUCCUGGGGGUGGAGCAGCUCCCAAGGGUCCGGCUGUUCGCCGGUUAAAGCGGUACGCGAGCUGGGUUUAGAACGUAGAUCACUGCGUCUCCAAGGAGCAAUCCUUGGAUGCCCAUCGGCUCAUAUCGGUGGAACCUCACUGUCAUAACCGAACGUUACGGUGAGGCAAUACCGAGGGAAGGCCGACACAUUGAAGGCGGAACAAGCAAGCUAUCUCGCAGGAUUCCUCGACGGAGACGGAAGCAUUCACUUCCAACUCGUCAGACAACGAGAGUACAAGUUCGGGUUCUACAUCCGAGCAAGCAUGUCUCUGUCGCAAAGCACAUCGGCACGAUCGGGGUUGGAGAGCAUCCAACACAUCAUCGGGGCCGGGUACAUACGCGACAGAGGCACCGGCAUGAGCGAUCUCGUGAUCACCAGCCGGCCGGUACUCCAGCAGAUCCUCAGCGAGGUCGAACCGUUCGUUAUCUGCAAGCGCGAGCAUGUGCGGCGCGCGCGAAGGCUGCUCGAACGGAUCAGACCAAGGAUGAGAGAGGAAGAAUUCCUGGAGAUAGCGCACGAAGUCGACGCCUUCGCAACCCUAAACUAUUCGAAAUCGAAGCGGAUCUUCGCCGCAGAUGUCGAGCAGCAUCUGCGUAGCAUGGGUGUGUCGGUCCCCGUAACGACUUCUUCGGAUCGCUUAUCCGAAGAGAUGGAGCAACUGUCGCUCGUCGACAAAUCAGAGCUCCAUAACACGCCGGCCCCUCGAAAGAGGGUGAAGGUAUAGUCUGUGCCCGCAGCGAUGCGGGAUGAACAUGCGUGAGACAGUUCGGUCCCUAUCCACCGUGGGCGCAGGAGGCUUGAGGAAGGCUGUCCCUAGUACGAGAGGACCGGGACGGACGCACCGCUCGUGUGCCAGUUGUUCUGCCAAGAGCACGGCUGGUUGGCGAUGUGCGGAAGAGAUAACCGCUGAAAGCAUCUAAGCGGGAAGCUCGUUCCAAGAUGAGGCCUCCCACGGAGUUAAUCCGGUAAGGCCCCCGCAAGGCUAGCGGGUUGAUAGGCCGGAGGUGGAAGCGUGGCAACACGUGGAGCCGACCGGUACUAAUAGGCCGAGGCCUUGGUUCGCU